rnacentral:rRNA from 1 species
UCCUACGGGGGGCAGCAGUGGGGAAUUUUGCGCAAUGGACGAAAGUCUGACGCAGCAACGCCGCGUGGGUGAUGAAGGUCUUCGGACUGUAAAACCCUGUCGUCAGGGACGAAGGUUGGGGGGUUAAUAACCCUUCAGCUUGACGGUACCUGGAGAGGAAGCCCCGGCUAACUCUGUGCCAGCAGCCGCGGUAAUACAGAGGGGGCAAGCGUUAUUCGGAAUUAUUGGGCGUAAAGGGCGCGUAGGCGGUUUUUUAAGUCAGAUGUGUAAUCCCCGAGCUCAACUUGGGAACUGCAUCUGAGACUGGAAGGCUAGAGUACUGGAGAGGGUGGUGGAAUUCCUCGUGUAGCGGUGAAAUGCGUAGAGAUGAGGAGGAACACCAGUGGCGAAGGCGGCCACCUGGACAGUAACUGACGCUGAGGCGCGAAAGUGUGGGUAGCAAACAGGCUUAGAUACCCUGGUAGA